AAAGUUAGAUUCUUCCCAUCCCUUGUUAAUUAGCCACACAGAGAAAUAAAAUCUUUAAAAGGUUUGGAGAACUCAGUUUGAUGUGGCUCGAACAGAACACUUCUUACAAUCCCCUCUCGCAGAAAUGUGUAGCAGACCUGUAACAGGACAGCCUAUGCUAACUAAAUAUUUGGCAGACGGGGAAACGAGGUUUCUUGUUCAAUUUAUCAUGUGUUCUUGCUUUACUCAUUCUAUAUAUUCUCCCCAGGAGUCAGUCCUCCUUUGGCCCUUUUGAAUAAAAUUUCAGUGCGACUUCCCUAUGCCCAGAAGUUUCUGAAUGGUGUGGAUUUUCAGAAUAAAGAGAAGCAUGCAUUCUGGGCUCUUAGUGUUUGUCUUAAGGCAGAUCAGCCAACAGACCUAUCCAAAAUCAGUUUAUCAUAGAAAUUGCUUAUUUCAUGGUGACCUUUCCCAACAGACAAGCAGUAAUGAAAAAUUAUUUAGGAUUUAUUUUUUCCUUAUAAGAUUUACUGCAUCUUUACUGAUGGCAAAAUAGCAACAUAUCCCCUACCCUCACAAUCUUUUCUCAUCUUUAUAAUAUCUCAACUAUGUGUAAUAUUAAUUUUCAUUACUGCUGUCACUAUGAGAUAAAAUGAAUGCUAUGAUUCCUAACUUACAGAUGAAGAGCUGAGAAAAGCAGUUAUUUAUUCUAAAGCUGUUCCCUGGUUCUGACAAUCUAUUUUCAUACACACAGGAAUAAGAUUUUUUUCAGAACACCUAGUGUUGUGUAGCAUUUCAUGGGUUAACAAGAUAAGUAAAUUUACAUCACAAUAUGUUGAAUUCUAGAUGAAAAUAGCCCAUAUUUUUGAAGCAGUCACUUGGACAGAAGGUCAAUCAGCAGAUGUAAAGGAUUAAAAAAGUCACUUAAUAUGCCUACGCUUGGAAAUGCUCUAAGUGAGGUUUACAGAAUUCCUAAGAUCUAAGGGGGAAGAGUUUUAUAGAGAAAAAUCAGAAAAAGAAACAAUGGAGAAAUCAUUUAAUUGCCUAUUUCCCCAGCUGGAGUGUAGCAUCUUACUUUUACAUUUUCAUUCAGGAUUAUAACUGUCACACCACAUUAUGCUUUGCUAAUGCCUUCAAGAAUAAUUGCCACUUUGUAAAAGCACAAAACAUUUAGAAAACACUACUUUAAUCACAAAACCUUGCAAAAGCACAAAAAAUGUUGAAAACACUAAUCACAAAACUAUUUUUCUUCCACAAACCCCAAACAGUAACUGAUUUAGUCUUUGUUCUGGUUCUGACAAUAAGAAGCAUUAUGAAAACAGCCCUUCCAAUGACACUUUUCACUGUGACGUCCAAGUCGUUAUAUCCUCUCUUACAGCGUGAUGUUUAAAUGAGUUUUGAGAGAAAUAAAAAAAAAAAAGUAUUAAUGAUGAUAAUUAAGGUUUCUGAGGGAUAAUCAUUGGAAAGAGACUCCAGCCAGUCAAAGAGAGUGUUUCCUUCGUUUUAUAGUAGCUAUUUUCUUCUUCUACCUCCUCUUGCUAGAUAUUUUCCUGCUGGCUGAUGCUUAGCUCGCAAACUUAAUGCCACUAUAGGAUUUGGUCUCCUAUGCCUGCAGCUGUUUUGAUGCUCCAGAAUGCAUACACGUUCUGCCCACCCUUUUAACAGCUAAAGUUUGGAGUAAAGGAAGUUAAAAGUCUUUUGAUAGUUACCAUAUUUUCCCAUGCCUGGUAAUUCCUCCAACAAGCUUGCACUGGAUUCCAUUAGUGAAGCAGAAGUCUCUCUUGACAAUCACAAAAUAUAGUGAACAACAUCACUUAUUUUUUUCCUUAAAACUACCAGCUCUGAGUCUCCAGCUAGAGGUUCUGCACCAGAAAUAUAAUGAUUUCACCUGCGGUGGCAUCAGCAGCAAGCAUCAAAUGAAAAGAGAUUGAAACAGAGAGCGAGUGCUUCUAUUUCUCAUUCUCUCCUGUGCUUGUCAUCAUGCUGCCAUUUCAGAUAUUGAGAUCACUCAACCUUGGCAUGAGCAAAACUUGUCUCUGAGGACAAGAUAGCAAGUGAAAGAGCAGCUUUUAGACUGGAGUCUCUUAAAAACACAUCCUUGCAGGCAACUGUGAAAAUUCAACAUUUGCCUUCCCCAACUUAAACAUUUCCUUCUUACUUCCAUCAUGUAAGUAUACAUUCUUCCACCUUGGAAAUGAGAAAGAAAACCAAAUUUUGCAGCUUUUUGUGAGAACAUUUGAAUGAUCCAGCCAUCACAGUAGCUAUGGUACUCAAGCCGGUGAAAACACCUGUUUCAAACACAGUCUGAUUUGUUUUAACAUAACCAAACUUUGCUGGCACUGAAAACUAUCCCCAUACAAAUAAGGAGAUAUAUUCUUGUGCAUCAGCAAGCUCUAAAUGUAUCUUAGGUUUUAUUUCUCCUGCACCUUAACUGUUUCUAUCAAGAAUCACUCACAGACCAUUAACUGGCAUAGCAAAAAAAGAGGAAAGAGAGAUAAAGCAUUAAAUGGAGUGAGGUUUCACAUGUCAGAUGAAAAUUUGGGAAAGUGGAGCUCUUUUCUUCAGUCUGACAGCUUUCCUGGAAUCAUAGGUACAAUCUUAAACAUCUCAGCUCUGUUACCCAUCAAUAAAAAGGGGGAAAUUGUACUUUAUCUUUGUUUCACUGUGAUGCAUUGAAGACAAGUACAUCUCCAAUUUAAAGUUUCAUAGAUACUUCAGUAAUGGGCAACAUGGAAGAAUGAAAGAUAGCAACUUCCUCAAGAAAGAUGAAAUUUAAUGAGUUUAGCCAAGGCAAACUCUUAAGCAGUGAGUAGACAGCAGCAUUGAGCUGCACUGGGGGAUGAUCUCAAAGUGUACACGUUUCCUAAAUAAUACUUUCAGGCAAUACUUUCCUUCCUUAAAGAGCUUCAGUAGGUGCCCUUAUGUCCUUUGAAUCUACACUCUGACUGUUCUGCCGAGGAGGUCGUGCUCCGGAGCAGUUUUCUCUUUGCACAUCAGGACUGUGUGAUGUGUAGCACCAGCAAAAACUCAAAACAUUUCCUGUAGCUGCUGCUACCGUCCCUCCCUACAUCUGAGAUGAAGACAAGAGCAAGUUUCAGGAUCACAGGUGUACAUUGCAUGUCUGCCUUACUGCAUAGAGAUGAUUUAUUAUGUCUUGGGUUAACAGGUGGUAAAGGAGAAAGAUAAUAAAGGAAAGUGCAGGGAGACACAAAGGUUUUUUUGGGUUUUUUUUUACCUCUACAGAAAUAAAUUGAGAUCUUCUGAAGAUCAGAAGGUUUUGAACAUUUCUUUGAGGCAGAAUAGAAAAGUCCUACUGAGACACUGAGUGAUUUCUAUCCAGACACGCUGCUUCUGUGUUAAGUUUCAUCUAUCAAGGUCCUUGACAGUGUUUUGAGACCAUUAGCUAUAAUGAGAUGAGUUUAGGAGAUCAAGGAAGGACAAAAGUUCUGAAAAAAACUUCAACUGAAAUUUUUGAAAUUCUGAGUUAGAAUAACUUUAGCCAUUGACUACCUCUUUUUAUUCCUAUUAGAUCACAGUUGAGUUUUAAGUGGAACAGACAGUAGGAUCACAUAAAUGGCAUUUUUCCUGUCAAAUUGGUUUGAUUUCUUUUUGGUGUCAUGUGAGCUUUAGUUGAUUGUUUCCUUUAUCCUUUUACUAGUGAUUGCUGACUGAAGAAGGAACUGUAUUUGUCCUUGUUAGGCUGGUACCAAGCUAGAAAUAUACUACUGCUGCUGUCCAGAAAGUUGGACAAGAAAUAAAAUCUUUGUAAGACAUGGCAGGGGUCUUGGGAAAACACAGUCAAAAUUUUCUUGACAUGUGUAUCCAGGCUGAAAUCACUGGUUGGUGAAUUUGUCUUUCAUCUAUUUCAGUACCUUCUGUCUCCUGUUGAAAUCAGGUUUGCAUGCUGUGUAGAUAAAAUGUUUCACCUACCUCUUUGAAAUUUCAUAAUAUAUUUUUGUUGUGAUAUUGGACAAAAACUACUGGUGGGAGUCGGGAGUUGGGGCAGCUCUUAAAGGCUCAGCUCCCUCAGGGUCACACGUAUUUCUGCUCUCGUUUUCACUUGCUGCAAGAUGAAACUUGUAGUUAAAAUAACAGGAAAAGAAAGGUCUCAAGACUUUAAUUCCCAGUUUGAAGUUCAUGAUUCUCAAUAAAAGUAAAUAUGAAGGCAAUGAUAGCAGCAGCAGCAACUUCUCGAGGACAGGCUGUGUGCCUGCUCAGGUGGAGCUGUGUCCUGUUUUCUGUUACUCAGAUGGCAGCACGAUAAACAGCCUGCUUCAUGCCAGGCUCACUCGGUGUAGAAGAGGAGGGGAUUGCUGGUUUUCCAGUAAAAAAAAUGUGAUGGGAUGGAAUGUUUUACACCUUGGGAGACCUUGGAAGCAAUUUAUGACUGCACAUGGACAAAUAAUCAAAAUAUCUUGUUUAGUGUCUACUUAAAAAAUAUUAAUGAUUAAGAGAUUUUCUAGAUAAAUUCUUAAUACAUCUAAAGACAUUAAUUAACAACAUACAAUUUCACCUCAUUUCAGCUGAAUAUUUUAGUCUUUCCCUGCAUUGCUUCUCAAGGCUGGGAUCCUGAUGGCCAUGUGGAACUGUUCUUUUUAUAACCAUUAUAACUGUUUUAUAACCAUUCUUUUUAUAACAACAUUUAGGUUCUGAAAAAUCACAACCAUGAGUUUCUUCAGUCUCCUGCAUUGUACUCUGAAUUCCUUCUGACUUUUUUAAGGGUCCUCUUCCUCUAAGCUUAUUAUCCUGUUAGCUGUUUUAAUGUGUGCUCACUGCAGCUUGUUACAGCUUUCUCUGUGCAUUGCUCCUGUUUGAGAUUUUACCUCAGUCAAGGCUUCAUCAGCACAAAACAAGGUGGAAUAGUUUAACAUGUAAUGGAUCUGGUCAUUUCAUGCAUUUAAGAUUAUAAAAUUCUGUUCACCUACUUGCCUUAUUUUUCUCCUGUUUUAUUUCAGAGUUUGAAAACGAACCUUUGUAAGCUCUGAUUUAUAGUUCUACAGAGCUCAUGUUGCCAAGACAACUAUUGUAAAUGUUCUCUUCUGGAAAAACCCUUGUAGACAUAAGAAGCUUUCCCAGAGAUAUCAUUCAAGCUGAAAUGUUGUAAAAUGAAUAGUGAAUUCACUAACAUUUUUCCUUACACUGUCCAUUUAAUUGACAUGGCGUUAUUCCCCAUGGGGUUAUUCCCCAAUGGGGUUAUUCCCCAUUCUGUAUUUGCAGUUUGUUAUUCUUCAUCCUCAUUUGAGUAGCCUGAAGGAAAAAAAAAAAAAUUAUCUUGAUGUUUCUUGAGUUAAAAAGGACCGGGAAGUGUUUCUGGUCAAAUAUUUUAGGUACUAGGAAUGCAUGUUCUCUGUGUUGCUCUGACAUCAAUUAUCAGUAUCUUCAUAGGGAAAAGCGGGGGAGGCUUAAUUUCUGGCAGAAAUAUGUUAGCUGCUAAAGCAACUAAAGAAAUUAGCAAGAUUGUUGUUGGGGUUUUUUAUCGAUUUCUGGAUUUUUUUUCAUGAUUUCAUAUUUCACUUUCUCAGCGCCACAUAAUGUGAGGUGUCUAGGGGCAACAGUACUGACUCUGGACUGAUCAUGCAAAUUUGGAAGCUGUAGAAAAGAGAGGUAUAAGCUAUUGCCUUAAUUUUACCAAUGGAAUUAAUUAGACCUGUACUUCAGUUCAUUAACAUUGUCAUUGGUCUUUAGUGUUCAUACUUGUUUACGAAAGAACCAAAAUCACAUCACAUGAGUACAUGGUUACAUAUCACAGCAUCCAUACUGAAUAAUUUAAGACUGCAUCUCAACUGUUAUAUGAACAAUCAUCAAUUUACAUUGUGGGUAUUAAGGAAAACCAUGGGAAAUAAUCCAUAUAAUAUUGUGAAUGAAAACAGCUUUGUUUCCAUGUUGAGAUAGAGUAGUGUGGUUAUUGUACAGCUGGUUUUGGAUAAAUUAAAUCUGUACAUGCACAGCACGAUCUCCUCUUGAGAGGAAGCCUUGGACAUUGCAUGGACAUGUAGUGAGGAGUCACAGCUCACAGGGGAGGAAAGAAUUUGAAGAGCACUGCAGGCAGCAUGAAACACUAGAGCAAAGCUUUAGAAAGAAAUGUUAAUUAAUAAUAAAAGGUAAUGCAUUCUCAUACAGACUCAAACCAGCCUGCAUAAACUCAGCAUUCUUGAAAAAAAUUGUGUGUGACUGGCAAUUUAGCAUCUUCUGAGCGAAGUUGCUUGAACUGAAAUAUUUUGGCCAUUACUCUAUUUUCAAUCAAGGUAGGGAACAGGAGCUAUCUACAUAAGCAGAUUCCAAAGCAUUCUAUUUUUGCAAAUGGAUUAAGGUGCAACUGAUAAAUGCACAAAGGGCUUUAGUUCUCCAUUUAUUGUUUCUUUUUCAUAACAGCUAGUUUCAGAAAGCCACCAAAGAGCUUUCAGAAGUAGAAUGAGUAGCUAGUGGGAGCAGCCAUGAACACAUGCAAUCCCUUCCUCCCACCAGCCCUCCAGAGGAUACAGAGUACUGAGAAGCUCAUUUCAAAAAACUAUCAUUAGCUAUGACUUUUCAGAAAGGCACAAGUUUUUACAGAUAUAGCUGUUCUUGUUCUAAACAUGUUUCAGUCUUUAGAAUACGGAAGAUAAAGAGACAUCUGAAAAGCUGUGCACAUAAUGGCUGAUUAAAGACGCUGCAUCCCCAAGAGCAUGUGAACACAGCUAGGACAGAAUUUUCUUUCUUUUGUGAAAACACACACCAGUUCAGCAUUUAUAUAAAGUAAUGCUUUAAGGUGGAUAAAAAGAGGUUCUUGGCAACAGAGAGGUCUUUGUGGAGGAAUAUGUUACUUUCUGUGGAGUUCCAUCAACAUAUUCAAAUUUACUUCCAAGAAUCUUCCAAGAAUUAGCAUAUUUUUUUAUAACUCCUUCUCAGAUACACUGUGUCACUUGCUCUCACAGUUCCCAUUUAUAACUGAUAUCACAUGAGCGUCGUUAAGACACGGAGCAGAGCCUGAGUUGUUAUGACACAGAAUCACAUAUAUGGGCACAAACUUUCUUUGGCAAGUAGUUUAAAGAUUUUUUUAUUAUUAUUUUUAAGAUAGUGUAUCUAUGCUAAAUAUAACUGCAGUCAAAACUGAAAUAAAUGGGGGUCCUGGGUCUCAUCAAGGUUUAGCUCCAUUCCAGAUCAUCUUGGCAGAGAGCAAUUUCCCAGAAAAUUGUCAAACACUUUCAGCUGCAGGAACUAUGAAGCCUGACAUCAAACUCAAAUUUCUUUCGCAGUACUCUCAUUUGAAGGUAAGAACCCACUCUUUAUUUCAAGCAAUUUUCUUCAGUCAUGGUGGGGAGAGCCCAGAACAGUCUGUGAAGCUUUGUGGUAGGUUUCCACAUCCAUCUCUGCACAAUCACUAACUAGGGUCAUUUACAAGUUUUAUUUCUUGAGCUCUAGGUGUGAUUUCUCUUGACCCCCUCCUGUUUCCUCCCCGAGGCACAUUAUGCUGAAGAUAUUCUUACUGUGGUGCUGACCUGUGACCUGUGCCAUAGGUAAGGAACAAAUGUUGUGUGACUCUCCUGAAGUAGAUAUCUCCUGCAUGAUUAUCUGAAACUGGGAGUGCUGGUGGGGUCACACACUGCCUGCCUUCCUGUCCUGUUCUUCUGUCUCCUGAGAACAUUACCAGCACUGCCAUCCCUGCCUCUCACACACAGAAGAAGCAGCCAGCUUUAAACUCCACAAAUGAAGUACAGCUAUCAACAGAGCUGUGGCAGACUGGAACUCAGUGUGGGCUCACUGCCUGAAUAUUUAUUUAGUUCCUGGGCAAGUUUUCCAGCUGAAUCUGUCUGCCGCAGCUGCAUGGCUAGAACGUAGCUGGGUGAAUGUGUGCAUUAACCUGCAGAACAAGCUUAAUGCUUGAAAAUGAGCUGCAGGGAAUGCAGAAGAUGAUUGGCAUGAGCACAAGAGUAUUGGGUGCUUUUAGCUAACCCCUCCCUUAAGGUCUUCUCCAGUGAUUGUGUGCUAGACUUACAAGUUAAAAGUUAAAGUAUAACUUCCAACCAAAGUUAAGGGACUAAAGCAAUAUGAUAGACUGGGGAAUGAUGCAACUUUGGAUCUUCUCUGAUGGUUCAAUGGCUCAGCAAAUCUGUAUUUCUGUCAUGUACAGGGUAAGAUUCACAGUUUAUAUCCCCAACAAAAUGUUGGGAACAUGAAUCAUAGUGAAUCUUGCAACUUCAGGCAAAGAGAGAACUCCCAAAGCAGCCAUAUUCUAAGAAGAAAUAAAGAAAUAUAUAGCUACCUACUACUAUCACAAGUAUUAAAAUAUAUCAUCUCUAAUGAAAAAAAAGCCCAGUGCAUCCAAAUAAAAAGGGAUAAUCAACUUGUAGAUGGUGGCAGAAUCCAUAAAUCUUAUGACUCCAUAAAUCUAUGGCAGAAGUACAGUGCUGGGUGGCUAUUAAAUAUACCCUGUUACAAAUUACAGAAUGCAAGGCCUGAUCCAUGCAGCUAUUUGGAUACUAAUGUCAAGGGGAGGGGACAAGCUGCCCUUAGGGCGAUUAGGAUCUCCCAACGGGCUGCUAAUGCAGUUGGAAUCUUCCUCUUUCCUCCUCUGUGCUCUUAUUUCUUCUCAUUUCUUCAAGCUCAGGUAACUAAAAAGUUCAUGUAAGAUGAGAGAGAUUCCUUAGAUCUACCAUGCAAUGCAUAACAGAGUUAGGGAUAACAAAGUUCUGUAUGGCUCUGAGGUAUUACUGUCUUGUUGGAGGUUUUUUUCCCAACAGCAAAUGUUUGCACAGUGCAAGAGAUCAGAAUAAUAAAAUAAAUAAACAUUGUCCAACUGAAUCUGGAAAAUCUCAGCUGCUUUGCUAAUGUGUGCAUGUGUAUAUAUGUCAAUAUACACACACAUCCAUCAACAGGAAGAAUGUGAAAUGGAAGCCAGGGAGGUCAGUGUAACACCAGCUGUACUGCUGGUUCUUUAGCUGACUUCACUGAGUAAACUGCCUCUCUACAACCUUAGUAAUUUGCCAUGGUCUCCUUCUUGCUCAAUUAGAAUUUUGUGAGGUGCUUUUGGUCCAUGUAAACCUGUACCUGUUUGAAUUUAUCACCUUGUGUUCCCUAUAAGCAAUCUGUGAAUUUUUGAAGACUGAAACAGGAUGCAAAAUGCUGCCCAGAAAACUGAAAACCAGCAUGUCUACACAGUGAAUAUGGAUUCCAAGGGGCUUCAGGGAGUACUAGGUUAUGUAUUGGGACUGCAGGGCAAAGGGAGAGUUUUGGAACAGCAUGUACAUCUAGAUGUCUUCUUAUCAGCUCUGCAGAGACCCAAGAGCUCUAUGUAUUGCACUAAGGGCAUGGUUGAAAGCCUUGUUAGGAGAUGGCAGUGUGUGAAGAGCUGUAGUGUGGUCUCCUUAGCUGGCAUAGCUACAGAAUCUAUUAGCAGGAACAUUUGUCAUACAGAUUUUGUCCCAGUAUAGAAAAUGGAAACUUUUAUUUUAGUCUGAAUAAGUAUUAUUUUUACAGUAAAGAACUGGAGUUGAAGAGUGUGUGUCCUUUGGCAAAGAAUGAUUCCCUAGUCUAAAGAGGCUAGGAAAAAAGAUAUUUCUAAAGAAAAAAGAAAAAUAUAAAAAUACAUUUUGUUCACUAAUAAAUUUUGCAUUUUCUUUUUCAUCUGCACAGAAGUUUAUGAAGCACUAAAAUAUUUGUUACACAGAAGUGCUAUCCAGAUUUUGCAGGGCAUUGCUGCUUUCCUGCCUGCCUUGGCCUCAGUAUGAAAGGACAAGAAGAGGAACCUGGUAACCAGGAACUCCUCCUCUCAAGGUGGAGAUUUUGAAUCUGGAUACCCUUGAGUCCAGUCAUGGCUCCCAUACCUUGCUGCAUUCAGAGCUGUGAAAGGGUGUUCUGAGGCUGGGAUUUCACUUUUAAGCUGAGAACAUCUUUUUCGGGACUAUCAGUCAAGAAAAUAAAGGAAACUAAUACCAUUUGUCUGCUUUGGAUGCUGACAUCAAUUACAGAGGAAAUGGAAGUAAGAGAGAAUCAAUUCACAAAUUCCUUUGAAGAAGGAGGGAAAUAUUUAUAUUUCCAAUGGGGAACCAUUCUUCCUA